rnacentral:lncRNA from 1 species
AGAGACUAAACGAAAUAAGCAGAUCUCCUGGUGGGAGAGCUAUCAAAAAAACAACAGGUUUUAUGGGCGCUAGAAUUAGGAAACAGAUUAGCCAAAUGCUUAAUUCUCUCCUCCUUCUUUGACCUUACUUUCACUGUUUUGUUUUAUUAGAACUUCUUUUCCUUGGUGUAUAGUGCGACAGAACCAUCAUUCACGAGGGAAAAAGAAGUGGAAGAAUACAAAAAUCAGAUGCAGGUCAGGAAAGUAUAAAGUAGAAAUGUCAGCCAGUUCUCUCGAUGUAUUGUAGUAAGAUGUAUGGUGGAAGUAAUAUGGAUGUGAAGGAUGAGAGAAAGAGAGAAAUUUAAAGGGGCAUUGAGAAAAUCUUUAGUAUGCUUAGCUGUUCACUCACAUGCCCCUUCAUAUAUUGUCAACAAUGUUUGUUAGUAUUUCUUAAACAUCACAUCGUGUCAUCUUCUAAAAUUUCAGGUCUCAGUUCACAUAUAAAAGAAAUGAGUGAAGGGGAAGGGGAAUUGCCCCUUCAGCUCCAGUCUGCUUCAGUCUCAGCCUCAGCCCAGCCUCAGAAUGGUUUUUCAGCACAAAAAGAUAGUCCAUUUAUGUUAUUUAACUGUCCCACCUGCUAGUGACCUUGGUCACCCUCCCACCCCUCUCCACUGCCAACACUACAACACAGAAACUCAGCAUUGUUAUGGAGGCAACGGAAGAAGGGAAGGACAGAAAAAGGGAGAUGAAAAGGCCCACCCCACCACCACAACACUUCUGAUAGUGCUGCACAUGUCCCCAUCCAAAAGAAUAAGGAGAGUUAAUUAACCCCAAAGCUGUACACAUGAAAAGCUUUUAAAUACAUGUAUAGAUUUCACUCCAAGGAACAACCGGAGAAGCCAAAAAAUUCAAAAUUUAAUAUGUUCGACAUCAGAGGCCUUAGGGUAUCUACUAAGUGCUCCCACAUACAUCUGAAAUAAAAAUAAAAAAUAAAAAAGAAUUACAAUAAUGGUUCAAACCCACAAAAUAAAAUGAAAAAAGCAGCAGCAUAUUUGAGUCCUCUCAGUUUAUGGGAAACAUUAUCAUCCAAGUAGGUGACAAGAACCUGGGAUUUUGGAGGGGGAAAGCCGCAGACCUGUUCUUUGGGGUCUCGGACUAUGGGAUUUGGGAGAAGGGGUGGUUGGAUGAUUUAACUGCAAGAGGAAAGCUCGAAAAAAAUAUGAGCAUGGUGCUAGAAAGGAACUUGAUUGGUUUGGAAAAUUCUGAUCUUCCAUACAUUAUUGCGUCCUUUUCAACGAACAGACGAAACCCAUUUGCUGCAUCUGUUUUAUUAACAAAGUGAAAUGUUUUUGAUAUUCCUUACAAUUACAAUAGGGGUUUGAGAUUGGGAUGGGGAUAGGUAUUUAGUGGUGCCGGUAGGCAUUUGGUGGCAAUGAUGGUAGAGGCUUUACCAGUGGUGGAGAUGGGGCGGGUCGGUUGGCAGACUGAAGGGAAAGGGGUGGGAUUUGGAGAUGACUCGGAAUUUUUUAUUCCUUUUUAAUAUUUUUGGGUCUCAUUUUCCUUCUUUUUGUAUUUAUGUUUUGUUUAGUUUUAAGUUAAGGACAAUUUUAUCUUUUUUCUACUUAAACCCAUUAUGGAACCCUCACUGGGGACAGUAGCCACUAGUUUAUAACAGAUUGGGGACCAAGAAACAUUGAAACAAAAGGCUAGGGGUAGGAGUCCAAAUGGGGAUGAAAAGGCUGGGGACGAUGACAACAAUUUAGCCGAAAUUAUACAUGCAAGCAUUGAUCUCCAAACUUUCAUCAGAAAUUUACAUGCUUCAAGACUUAAGUCCGGUUGAUUGCAAAUAUGAAAUUUGAGUGGAAAGAAAACAAAUUCCAGAGAAUUGAAUUGCUUAGAAAUUAUUUUACUGGGAAUUGUCAAUUAUUGUGUUUGAUUAGUAUAAUUUUUCACGUAAAAAAUGUUGAAAUAAAAGUAUUUUUUAGUAUUCGUUUGGCUUUGUUUUACAUGAAAAUUAUCAAUUAUAGAGAUAUAAUUUACUAAUAUUGGGGAUAAAAUUUGUUUCCAUUACUCAGAAAAAAAAUCUAUCUUUUGGUGUUUAUUUAACUUUGUUUUAUAUGAAAAUUGUCAAUUAAAGGAAAAUAUUUUUUUACAAGUAGGGAUAGAAUUUGUUUCCAUUGCCAAAAAAAAAAAAAAAGACACACAGCAACUAAGAAAACCAAUUCGCAGCUAACCCAAGAAUAGCAACUAAGAAAACCAAUUCCCUGUUAACCCACAGGAAUACAAAUUCCUCAUUUUCGUGGAAAAUAGGGUCACGUGCCAGAAAACUAGAAAACAAAUUGCCAGGAAAAUAUUGCCGAUCAAACAUGGCAAAAAGUGGAAAAUGGCAUUUUCAAUUCCAACUUCCAUGGAAAAUAUAGCGUAUCAAACGGAGCCUAAGAGUUUAACUAGUUAUAAUAACUUACAGCUGUGAGGCAUAUCUAUAACUUUUGCAGUGACACCAAGCAAAUCAGCACCGGAAUACCUCUGUAAGAUAUGCAAAGUAAUUUAUCAUUCACAGGGAAAACUAGCCCAAUAAAUUAACACUAGUAUAAGACAAAAAAUAAUGUAUGAAAAUCAGGAACUUGCUAAAUUCUUAUCCCAUGGUACAUUAACUCUAAAAAUUUCUAUCAUUCCAGUUGACAUAGGACAGAGAUCUUGAAAUUGGAAUUCACAUGAAGUCAAUUUUCAAAUUUGAAAGAAACUGUUCUAUUCUAAUUUUGGUCCCUCAUUCUAGGAUGCAGAAUGCAGUUUAGAAGUUAUUGGGCAAUUCCAACAUAUGAACAUUCUUCUGUGCUAAUACAGGACUUACCAAAUGCAUUUCAAUCAUUGGGACCUCUGAGCUCUUUCGGUUGAUCACAAAAAGCCACGGGAUAUAAAAUUUCUCUCUUCCAACUUGAAAUGAUCUGCAUCACAAUCACUUAUUACAAAUCAAAAGAAAAAUCUGAUGGCAAACAUUAUACCAUCAAAACAGAGUUAAACGAGAGUUCUUAAGUAUAUUAGACUAGCUAUCCAUUCAGGAUUUUUCACAGUGUAAACUCCUGAUCCACAUACUUAUACAGGCCUGCAGGAUGAGUCAAAAGCACUUUCACUUUUACCACAAUAGGAAACAGCACGAGCUGAAGAGAUUGCCCAGAGCCAUUUCAAGAUAUAGAUGGUCUAGAUACAUAUGAUCUCUUAGGGGCCACCUCAGAGUAUCUAAAGGAACACAAACAUUCUAUUGGAUGUAAAUAGUCAAAGGAAUGCUGGGUCUGGAUGAUAUAAAAAAUAAGCCAAAAAAUACUAAUGCCUUGUAGCUUUUAGCAUGAAGUGACAGAACUAGUCAUUCCAAAGUCGUAAGACCAUGUAUGGGGGCUAAUGCCCCGCCCAAUGCCGGAAGAUUAAGAAGGUUGAUGACUUGAUGACAGGGGAGCUGACGACAGAAGCCUUGAAGAACAACGGCCGUAAUUAUAACGGUUCCAAGGUAGCAAAAUUCAUUGUUGGGUAAUUUCCAACCCACAUGAAAGGCUUAACGAUUUGGGCACUGUCUCAGAGAGAGGUUCGGUGAAAUAGACAUGUCUGUAAAGAUGCGGAAACAACUGAUAAAUCGUUCCCAGUAAGAAGAUUGGAUCAACUAGCAAAAAAUUAACUCAACAUCCCGAUGUAUAAAAUGAAGAUAUACCUACUAUAUCAUAUAAUUAGUUUGUACAUAUAAGGUCAAAGGGUUCCACAACAACAAACUAAUCCUUCACAGUAAAUUUGAGGACAGAAGCACAAAUCCUUCUGUAUCACUCCAUUCAGUUCAUUACUAGAGCAACUCAAAGAUUCAAAGCAACUAAAUUCUAAGCAGCCACAGCAUCAUCUUAGUUUUGGUCUACCCUCCCUCUUCCAACAUGUUCGCCUGAUAUCACGUCAUGUAAAACACCUCAUUAAAAAUUUAAGUCACUGGCCAAGCUCAUUUUAGUAGUAUUGAAAAUCUUUUACUAGAAACUCAAACCUGUUCUUAUGUAUUGAACAAGAAGUAUAUUGUGGAUGGUAACAAAAUCAAUGAUGAAAUUCCACUUCUAAACAUGCGUUGCCAAGGGAUUUAGAUAUUGCAAUUUUAAUCUAAGUCAUAGCUCACCAAAAAUAACUUACAACCAUACAAACAGCCACACAUUAAAUUGGCAAAUAACUUGCUUAAAGAUUGAAAACAGAAAAUCCAUUUCCCGAAUUUCCCCUGAAGUAUCAAUUUCCUUUCCUAGCCUCUUAAACGUUCCACAUUUUUUGGUCAUUUCCACCACCAAGGCCUAACUGAACAAUGAAAAUGUCAGAAUAUUCAAAAUAAUAAAAAUGUAAAAAAAGAAAACUUCGUUUGAGAGGAUAUUUGAGGCUCACAUUUUAUAUGGAUCAGCUCCAGUAUAACCAGUGGGUUUCGGUAUCGGAAUCAACGUCUACAACCCCAGAAAUAAUACGGAAUUACAAUUCAGAACAACAAUUUUUCAAAAGCAAAACAAUCUUAUAAUAGAGUCAACUGAAUAAAAACAAAGAAUGAGAAGAUUACCUCGCGAUUAACAGCGAAGAUUGGGCAGUGCCUCCCUAUCAUAUCGUGCCAAACCGUCCUAGUCUGCAUAAUUUAACCAAACAAUACAUAUAUAUUAAUCAAUUAUAACAUUCGCUUCGCAUAUCUACCAUUCGAAAGAUAGAAAGAGAAAGGGGGAGAGAGAAUCACAGAGUGGUAUUGACCCAUGCGGCUCAUAGGAACGAUGUCUCCGGGUCUGUAAGCAAGUGAAGGCGGUGCCAUUAAAAUCAUUUGUAGUAGAAUCAACGCCAUCGCCACAGUGGCAACUCUGCAAUUUCUCUCCAUAUUCCUUAAUCGCCGAUCAGCAAUCAAAGAGAGUGUGUGAAACUUUACGUAGUCCUCCUAGCAAUGCUCGCAUUUUUCGGAUACAUAGAAAGUGCGUUUUUAGCCCAUCUUAAUGUCGUCAAGGGGCUCUUUGCCAUGGAAAAUGGAAAUUGAUUUCCACCGUAAACAAAAAAUGUAUGUUUGAUUGGUUUUUUUUUUUUUUAGACAAUUCAUUUUCCAAAACUUUCAUGCCACCUCAACCAUUUUUCCCCAAAUUGAUUAUUUCUACGCUGCUGGUCAAUUUUUUAUUUUUAUUUUUUUGCAAUAGAAACAAAUUAUAUCUUUAAUUGUAAAAAAAUAUUUUUCUUUUAUUGACAAUUUUCAUGUAAAAUAAAAUCAAACGAAUACCAAAAGAUAGAUGAUUUUCAUUGCUUUUUUUUUUUGAAAAAUGAAAACAAAUUCUAUUCCCAAUGUCAGUAAAUUCUAUCCCUUUAAUUGAUAAAUUUCACGUAAAACAAAGUCAAACGAACACCAAAAGAUAUAUGUUUUUCUUGAGUUUUUUUUGGCAAUAGAAAUAAAUUAUAUCCCCAAUAUCUGUAAAUUCUAUCACUUUAAUUGACAAUUUUCAUAUAAAAAAGUCAAACGAAUAUCAAAAAAUAUUUUUAUUUCAAUAUUUUUCAUAUGAAAAAUUAUAUCAAUCAAACACAAUAAUUUACAAUUCCCAACAAAAUAAUUUCUAGACAAUUCAAUUCCCUGGAAUUCGUUUUCUUUCCACCCAAAUUUCAUCUUUACAAUUAAACGGAUCCAAUUGACAAUUCUCAAUAAAACAAUUUUUAGGCAAUUCAAUUAUCUGAAAUUCUUUUUCUUUCCACCCAAAUUCCAUGUUUAUAAUUAAACGGACCUUAAUAAACAUUCCAUUCUCUCCUAUUUUCAACUACACAAUCUUUCAUAAUAUCCCUCAUAGAUUGAAAAUUUUUCCUUUUUUCCAACCACUCAUUUGAAAAAAAAUAAAAAUUUAAAAAUUUAAAAAAUAACAUUGUUCCACUCAUUUUCAUUUCCAUAUCGUUUUUUCGAAAAUAUGCUACAUGUGACCUUCCAUCCAAUCCUACAUGCUUAAAAAGGAGAGUUGACACCGCUGUUUAUUUUUGUCGUAUAAGUUAUUUUCCAUCAAUUUACAACUUGACAUAUUGUGAAAAAGUAAUUCAAUUUAAAGACCAUGUGUGCUGCUUAACAUCAAUUUAAAUAGUAAUGAGAGUCCUUCUUUAAUUAUCAACAUGACAACAACUGCGAAUUAAAGGUUUGGCAACGAAUAACUUCCUUCAUAGGGAUGACAAUUUACCCCAUCCCGCUUCAAAUUGGGCAAAAAAACCUGCUUCGAACUGGUUGGCAAGACGAGGCGUAUCAAGGCAGGGAGCUUCGCCCAAUAAAGAAAAAAAAUAAAAUAAUCAAAAAUAAUUUUAUUUCUAAACAAUUUACUCAUUAAAAAUCAAUUUUGAAUUUGUAUUUUAUUUUCUAAUAAUAACAUAAUUCGAAACUUUCAAAAUGUUAAAAAAAUAAUUAAACGGGGCAACAAAUGGAGCAAAAAAUUGCCCCAUCCCCGCCCCAGUCUAAGGCGAGGUGGGGGUGCCCCGCCUCGAACCCACUCUGUUGCCAUUACUAUUCCUUCAAUCAAAGACAAUUUACUGUUAUUAAUUCCCAUUUCUCACGAUAUAUUUUUCACUCUUUUUUUAAUCAUACAUUCUUUGUUAAAAUAAUAUUACCCACAAAUCUAAAAAAAAAUCUUAUUUUUUAAUCACACAUUUUACAUUUUCUAGAUAUAGUAACAGAAGAAAUGGGGAUGGGCCACUGGGCUCUCAGAAGAGUAUUAUGUAACGAAAGCUUGAAGGUAAAAUUUUCGACAAAAAAUUAAAGAUUAAAAAUUUUACAAUGAGCAUCGACUUUAGAUGUUUGUUUGAUUGGUUUUAUUUUUUAUGAAAAACAUCAAUUUUCCAUUCAAGUAUAUACAUACAUACAUACAUACAUAUAUAUUUAUAUAUUUAUUUUGCUGUUGAAAAUAUUUUUCAAAAGUUGGUAGAUUUUUAUUUUUCAAGUUCUUACCAUGUUUUCCUCAAAAUCAAAGAAAACAUUUUCUUUAGUAGAAGGUAGAUUUUAUUUUUCAAGUAAUUCACUUUUUCUUUCUCAUCUACCCCAUUUCUCUCUUAUUUAUCCACUAACAAAAGAUGAAAAUGUACAAUAUAGGUUAAAAAUUAAGUCAAUAAAAUACAUCUAAUUGACAAUUUAUAUUCAAUUAUUUAGAACUAAUUUUAUUCCUAGACAAGAUCCAUACUUGCAAACAAACACAUCUUAAAUGUAAUUUAUACGAAUUACAUCCUUAAUUUUAUGAAUUUUGCAAUAUAUACAUCAAAAUUUACAUAAUGAAUUAUAUAAUAUCACAUAAAAAUCUAUCAUUUAUCAAUUUAAAACAUAAUCAAUUUUUUAAUCUAAUUUUUUCCAUCCAUAUUAUAUUAUGUAAUCCAUUUUCUAUAUUUUUCAUGUACAAGUAGCAAAAUCUUACUUUUAUACCACUAGAACCAAAACCCCGCUCACACACAAUCUUUUCCCCAACAAAAGGUCCAAUGCAUAGUUAUCAAACCCGGCCCCGAUCGACAGUUCGGGCUGAGGAAUCGGUCACUCGGAGUUUGACCGAGUUAACCCGCGCAGUUGAUCGAUUUAACCGGCUGUUUUCUCACCAAAUCAGGCCGAUUUUUAUUCCAAACCGGGAUGUUGACUGUUUUGACCGAAUUUCAACAAUUUUUUCUUAAACAUUUGGCUUUCAAAAGACUUAAGACUUGAACCUUGGACCUCAAGGUGGGAUGGGCAAUACCUAACCACUGAAACUCAAUAGAUUAUUGUUACCUAUAUAUAUAUAUAUAUAUAGACACCAUUUGCUACAAGAAUUUUCUUGCGAAUAAUUUAUUACAAAGACUACUUUCAAAGAAAAAGUUUUGCUCCCAAAUUAGUAUCCCAAAUAAUCGUGAAUUGGUAUCAGAGCCUAUAACAGUCAAAAAUUAUAUAGUUUAUGAAAAGAAUCAAGUAUUUAAAUUUAGAAAUUUUAGAAAACUGUAAAAGAAACGUAGAAGCAGCUUCUCUAAUCUGUAAUUUUGAUAAUAAGUUUAGACAUACUUUACAUAGUGAAGAUAAAUAAUUAAAUAGUAUUGUAGACUUACUUGUAAAUUUAGGAGAAAAUUUAGAAAUGAACAAUUCAAAUAAAAGAGUAGAAACUUUAUUAGAAAAUAUAAAUAAAAAUAUAAAGAUUUUAGAAACUAAUCUAGAAUAUAUUAAAAAUCAAAAUACCGAAAUACUAAAAAGAAAAUCUAAUAAUAUAGGAAAAACAAAAUCUAGUCCUAACCUAGAAAAAUUGGAAAGCAUAGUGAAAGCAUUAGAAAAAGAAAAGUCGACAGACAAUAUACAAGAUUUAGAUAAUUUGAUAAAUAAACUAGAAAAAUUAGAUUUAAGUAAAACUAAAGAACCUCGUAGAUUUAAGAAAACUAAGUAGAUCUAUACAUAAUGGAUAAAUGUAAAAUAUGCAAAAUAUACCCAGGACACAAAAUAGAAAUCAGUUUAAGAAUUAUCUAGAAAUUCAAUGUAAUAAUUGUUUAGGAAUUAAAGAAGAAAUAAAUAAUAAUAAAAAUAAAGACUAUAGUGAAAGUAUAGAAAGAUUAGAAAAUAAAAUACACGAAACAUUAGAAGAAAUACAAUAUAGGAUUAUAAAUCUAGAAACAAAAGGAAAACAAUCUAUAGAUAAUUAUAUAGAAAAUAAUUAUUUGGAAACAAAAAAAAUAGGAAGAAAUAAUUUGUCAAAUAUCUAGAGUAAAGACAACAAAAAGUAUCAGAAUACCUAUAGAAGUACAGAUAAAUAAAAUAAUAACACACUGAAGAAAGCACAAAGCACAUCAUCGCACUUGUACUAAAAAAUCUCUUCACCAUCUUUGUAAAUUCGAAGGCAUCUUUAUAAAUUCAAAGACUUUUUAAUUAAAUUAAGUUAUUUUUCAUAUCUUCUCUUGUUUAUAAUUUUCGUUUACUUUAGUUAUUUCUCGUCAAUUCACGAUUAUUUGGGAUACUAAUUCAAGAUUAUUUGGGACACCAAUUCAUGAUUAUUUGGGAUACUAAUUCGGGAGCAAAACUUUUUCUUUGAAAGUAGAGCAAGACUUUUUCUUUGAAAGUAGAGAAAGACUUUUUUCUUUGAAAGUAGUCUUUGUAAUAAAUUUUUCGCAAGAAAAUUCUUGUAGCAAAUGGUGUUUGUCAAAGAAAGAAAAUGAAACGCUUUGAAAGUGACAACUAAAAUGAUACUAAUUCAGUAGCAAGAGUUCAAAGAAAAUUUUGAAAAUGACAAGUAAUAAAGUUUUCUAUGUGAAUACCAAUUAGAACAACCAGAAACUAAUAAAAUAUUCGGGUGGCAAUUAAUUCAAAAUCUUGUUUUUUAAUUUAUAAACGUUUUGAAUACCAAAUGUUUCCCAGAAUUUUUCUUUCCUAGCAAUAAAUAUUUGUAGAUAUUUUUUUUUGUAGGAAAAUGACAAUUAAAAGAAAGACUUGUAGCAAAAAGUAUUUCAAAAAAAUUUUCUUUCGAAAAUUUACAGACGUUUUGAAAACCUAGGAAUAAAUAAAAAGUCUACUACCAAUUAAUUUUUGAAGACAAAAAGUUUGAAAAAUUCUACACCAAUUUAGUUUAUCUUUGCUAUUAAAAUUCAAUAGCUAAAAAUGUCUAACUAGUUCUACUGAAAUAUUUUAAUUAUUUUCUCUUAUAAUAUUUGCUCAUUGUUGUCUUUCUUUACAAUCUUUUAUCAAGAAACUCCGACACUGAGAAAUGAGAGCUUAGUGAUUUGCUUCUUGAUCUGUAAAGAAGAGUCACCAUAUAUUUCUAUCUAGAGCAGAUAAAUUAUGACUUCCUACAACGACUAAUCUUCCUAUUUCUCUAUUUUCUAAACAAGUAUUAAUAUAUUCGUUAAAACUUUUCAAUGAACAAGUUAGUAGGGCAGUGUAAUCUAAAGGUAUAAAAUAUUAGAAUUUUAAAACGAUAUGUUUGUAAUGGCCUUUGAGUAUUUUACCGUUCAGCAAAUUAAUUUUUUUAAUUUUUUUUUUUAACUCUCUCUUAGCUUUUUUCUUGACCUUUUAAAGAAGACUUAAGACUGUAGCAAAAAAGAUUUUCAGCAUGUUUAAAAAGGUGUUCACGAAAUAUUUUCUUUCGAUUAAAAUCACCGCAAGUGUACGGUUCGUUAACAAGUAAUAAAGUGGAUUUUUAGAAUCCGAAUAUCGUCCCACAGAGAUUGAGUAGUUUAAUUUUACCUAUCGUAACCUUAACUGAAAUUAAAUUACUCAAUAUAAAUGUUUACCUAAAUAAACCCUAAGUUUAGAAAGAAAACCCUAAAUUGGAAUGCACACCCUAGUUUAUGCAAUUUUUACAAUUGAAAUAAGAUUAAUAUGUAAGACACGAUUUUUAACAACCUAGAAUGCAAAACAAUUGUUGAAAAUGCAAAUUUGUAGCAUUCAAUGUAAAUUAAGCAUACUAGUAUCACAAUUUCCCAUGCAACGAUCACCUUUAACCCUAAUUUUACAAUGUGACAACACGAUUGAGUUGUUGACGAAUCAAUGAUCCUACAUCUAUCCAAUACUCUCUCUCGAGAUGUAUUGAACUUAUUUUUAAAUACCACCGGCCUAUAGUUCUAUGACAAGUGCAUAUAUAAAAAUGAAUGCGAUUUUGUAAGCACUUAUAAAUUCACGUAAGGCAUAGCGGUAUACUUCUAUCCCCUAUCGGACUCUACGAUUAUUUAUAUAGUAUCGAACCUAUUCUACUUCUCUCGAAUACAAGAACAAGUCACCCAAACUCACACAAUUACAGGCCCUUAAUUGCGGAAAACAAUAAUUGCAUAUAAAUCAUUCAAACAAUCAAAACGUGCUUUGAUGUCAAAUUGUAAAGCUAGAAAUUUAAAGAUCUCAGCACAUGGUACAUUGAUCUCCUAGUACAUGUAAAUCUAGCCUAACAUGGAAAUAGUAUCGAAAUACAUCAUAUAUUGAAGAGGAAGCAUCACCGGGUUAUAAAUUCUUAAUAAAUCUUCUUGAUCUUUGUGCAAUCCUUCGUUAAUUCCCUCAAAAUCCUCUCCAAGUUGUGGUUUCUUGCCUCCCAAUACGUUCUCAUCUUUUUUGGACAUCCCUAUAACUUUAAAAGACUCCCAAAAUUUGUUUCUAUAAGAGUUUUAAUCAAAAAAGGAAAUCAGAAAAUUUUCGCAGCGAUUGGCCUGGGUUGUCGCUCAGGCAAAACCCGGGUUGUCGCCCAGGCCAACAUUUUCUUCUCGAUAAUAAGAAAAAUAUAUGGGGCGAUCCCUCGGUCUUUAUAACUGAGCUGUCGUCCAUGCAAAAUUUCUUUCAUAUGCUGCAUUUUAGCCCCGAAGUCGAUUUUUGAUUCCUUUUCGUUUCUUUUCUCUUGAAUUUUGCCACAUUCAUCAAUAUAGUUCUACAAAAUAUAAUUAUAUAAAAUUAAGCCAUAAUUCAAAUACUUUGAUCAACAAUUAGUCAUGUUUUGUACCCAAAUAAGUGUGUAAAAAACACACUUAUUAAAUCCCUCAAACUUGAAUUAUUGUUUGUCCUCAAACAAUUUAAUGACUUGACUCUAUACAAAACAAGGCUUAAUAACCUGCCGUGUCUUAGGAUUGAAAUUCAGUAAUCAACACGAGAAACGUUUCAAUAGUGCCAGAAUAAAAUCCACAUUUACCUAUCAAAUGCAAUACUUAACGUGUGUGUGUGAACUCAUGUCAACAUAUCAAGAUCAUGAUUGGUUUAUUCUCGAUCCAUAGUGGUCAAAUAUAUCCUUUCAUCGCUCGAGAGAUGCACACCCCCAAACUUAUUCUUUUCACUCAAUAAUCCCGAGGUUUUCUAAGGUUAGAAUUUUAAGUACUAUAGGCCUUACACUCUCUUAGUUUGGAUAGAUCUCACUAUUACAAGUUUAUACGUCAACAAGUAGAGGCUCUCAUAAUUUGAUUGUUUUAACCCUUAAGAUUAAAUUAAGCUACUUGCCUCAUAUCAAAUGUAUAGUUCUAUCAACCAAAUGUCAAAUGGUUUUUAUUCAUGUUAUUGUCUCUCUUUUUUUUUAAUUUGAUUUUUUUUGUCAUCUUCUCAUUUGCUUUUUAUAUAACCUUUGUAAAGAGCUUUAGGCCAAUGACUCCCAAACCAGUUGGUUUUAGAACACCGGGUUUUAAAUCCUUGCAGGCUUAUUCACUCGAGUUAUAAAGGUUCAAUCAGAUGACCUUUUAUCAACUUCUCUCUUUCUUGCUUUCUAUAUGACCCCUUUAGCGAGUUUUAGGUCGAUAACUUUCAAACUAGUUGGCUUUAGAGCACCAAGCUUUAAACCCUUGCAGACUUAAUUACUCAAGUCAUAAAGGCUUGGAAGGAAGUGUCUUGUUUACACAAGCUAAAUUUUAUGUCCCUCUUUAUUUUUCUAGACAUUUAGCUUUAAAAACCAACCCCGACUUAAAGCUUUCACCUAAUCUUCACCUCAUUGAUCUAGGCAAUCCACACAACAAAAUUCACGCAUGGAGCCUCCACUUAUCUCAAUGUACCCCUAUAAUUGUUCAACCAUCUCCAAACUGUUUUAAGGUGGUUUGUGGGUUAAUUCAGUAGAGGGUUAUCAUUCUUCUUCUACCUCGUGUCAAAAAAAAUCUCAUUCACUAACUCAACAUGCAAUCAUGAGUGACGUGGAUAAAGAGCGUCAAGUAUUACAUCAAGAAAUAUUAGUUAAUCUAUUAAGCACCAUAUCCACAGUUUAUAAAUUUAUACCAGUUCAAUAAUCACAUCAUAGCCGGCAAGUCUAUCAAGCCCACACAAGCAUGCAAGAAUGGAAAUACAGUAAAUUGAAUAAAAUGCAAAGAAUUUUUUUAACACUCAUCAAGCACAUAAUAUGCAGUCAUGAAAUAUAGAUAUUGAUGAAUAUAGGCAAAAUGAUGAAAAGAUGUUCGUGUCCAAGAUUAUGUCACCCACCCCCAAACUUAAAUAAUACAUGUCCUCAAUGUGAAAAUGAAAUAAAAAUGUAAACAGACAUAAUUGAAGGACAAUAAUAAACUAAAAUUGUAAGAUGGGAUACGAGUACUCCCCUGAUCUAUAUGGAGGUGGUGAAUGAAAACUAGGACCAGCAGUGUUUUUCCUUUCCCCGUGACAUUCUUUUUGGCGGCAUCCUGUAAAUGUGCAAAGUAUGUGUAUUAGUUCACAUGGUGUAAACAGAUGCAAUUGAGGCAAGAAAUAACCUACGUAGUGCACAAAUCUCCCAAACUUGCUUCAAGGUGCAUGUGUACAUUGUUGGUAUGUGGAAUGCAUAAUUAAUGUUUCAACAUAGGGUUCAUAUCACAAAAACUUCACUCAAAACAUGCACUUUGUUCAAUUUGAUACAUGACUGACUAAAAUAGAACUUCAACCUCAUGACUCGUGCUUAGUGCAUUGAGACUCGUGUGGACCAUGCCUAGACUCCAUAUGAUAGGGAUGUAUGAUCGACUACCUAAAAUUAUUGAUAAUGCCAAAAAAAUAAAAAGUUCCUAAACGAUUGCAAAACGAACUAAAUGAAAGGAUAUAAACAUUGGGUUGCCUCCAACUAGCACUAUUUUAUAGUCGAUAGCUCGACUUUUGACAUAGGUGUGUUAUGACACUAUAAAUAUGGCUUUGGAUGUCCUGCUUAUCUUGCUCAAUUCGAUUUUUUUCCAUAUCGCAACCUUCUUACAAAUUUUAACCCUGUCCUUCUCCAAAGAGUAUGACUUUCCAUAUUCACCCGUUUCGAACUCGAAAGUAUACACUUCAAUUUCUUCAUAAGGUUUAAUUACAAAUUCAAUGUUUGAGCAAAUGAAGUCGAGGGAUUGCAUACUAAUUUUCUCUUCUUUGAAUGCUGCUAACUCUUUUUGGUUCGUUGUGAUUAACCUUUCGGUCUUUUCCAUGCUUUUCUUCUUUAAUUGAAAUUUUAUCGAGUUCAAUGUCCAUAUCUGAAACUUGUGGCAGAGAAACAAUGUCAUCUUUGUGAAAUAGUCUUCCCCUCUUGUGGUAUUUGUUGGACGUCUGGUAUGUGAUUUCCUUAAUUCAUGUCCAUUAAUAACCGGUGGAAGAUAUAAUCCCAUAGGUAAAUCACCCAUGUAAAAUUGUGGCGAGAGAAACAAUGUAGCAGACAACAAGUCACCCAACACAAUUUCAUUUAGUUCACAUUCCGCUUUUAUAUCUCGUAGUCGCUGUCUUAUAAUGAAAUCUCCUACAAGCAUAUUGCCCUAUCAAUUUCUUGAGUUGUCAGUUGUUGUUGUCUUAUGAUGAAAUCAUGUACAAUCAUUUUAUUGAAAUCAACCAUAGCCAUUUGUUACUCUACUAUUUUUGGUCUUUUUAUUUCUUGAAAAUCAGAAAAAACAAAGACAAAUUGAAACAGAACAAAAAAAUACAAUAAUACAAGUAGAAGUUCGAAUUAGUGCCAAGAUAAAUGAAAUCAAACUAAAACUCAAUCUCCAGCAACGGCGACAAAAACUUGUUCACGAAAUAUUUUCUUUCGAUUAAAAUCACCACAAGUGUAAGGUUCGUUAACAAGUAAUAAAGUGAAUUUUUAGAGUCUGAAUAUCGUCCCACAGAGAUUGAGUAGUUUAAUUUUACCUAUCGUAGCCUUAACCGAAACUAAAAUACUCAAUGUGAAUGUUUACCUAAAUAAACCCUAAGUAUAGAAAGAAAACCCUAAAUUGGAAUGCAAACCCUAGUUUGUGCAAUUUUUACGAUUGAAAUAAGAUUAAUAUGCAAGAUACGAUUUUUAACAACCUAGAAUGCAAAACAACUGUUGAAAAUGCAAGUUUGUAGUAUUCAAUGUAAAUUAAGCGUACUAGGAUCACAAUUUCCCAUGCAACGAUCACUUUUAACCCUAAUUUUACAAUGUGACAACACGAUUGAGUUGUUGAAGAAUCAAUGCUCCUAAAUCUAUCCAAUACUCUCUCUUGACAUGUAUUGAACAUAUUUUUUACAUACCACCGGGCCACCGGCCUAUAUCUCUAUGACAAGUGUAUAUAUAAAAAUGCAUGCGAUUUUGUAAGCACUUAUAGAUUCACGUAGGGCAUAGUGGUAUAUUUCUAUCUCCUAUUGAACCCUACGAUUAUUUAUAUAGUGUCGAACAUAUUCUACUUCUCUCGAAUACAAGAACAAGUCAUCCAAACUCACACAAUUACCGGCCCUUAAUUGCGUAAAACAAUAAUUGCAUGUAAAUCAUUCAAACAAUCAAAACGUGUUUUGAUGUUAAAUUAUAAAAAUAGAAAUUUAAAGAUCUCAUCACAUGGUACAUCGAUCUCCUAGUACAUGUAAAUCUAGCUUAACAUGGAAAUAGUAUCGAAAUACAUCAUAUAUUGAAGAGGAAGCAUCAUCAGGUUACGAAUUCUUGAUAAAUCUUCUUGAUCUUCGUGCAAUACUUCGUUAAUUCCCUCAAAAAAUUCUCCAAGAUAUGGUUUCUUGCCUCCCAAUGCGUUCUCAUCUUUUUUGGACGUCCCUAGGGUCUUAAAAGACUCCCAAAUUUUGUUUCUAUAAGUGUUUUAAUCAGAAAAGGAAAUCAAAAAAUUUUCGCCGCCAUUGGCCUGGGUUGUCGCUCAGGCAAAACCCGGGUUGUCGUCUAGGCCAACAUUUUUUUUUCGAUAAUAAGAAAAACAUAUGGGGCGAUCGCCCGAUUUUUAUAACUGGGCUGUCGCCCAAGCAAAAUUUCUUCCAUAUGUUACAUUUUAGCCCCCAAAGUCGAUUUUUGAUUCUUUUUAAUUUAUUUUCUCUUGAAUUCCAUCGCAUUUAUCAAUAUAGUCCUACAAAACAUAAUUACGUAGAAUUAAGCCACAAUUCAAACACUUUGAUUAACAAUUAGUUAUGUUUUGUGGCCAAAUAAGUGUGUAAAAAACACACUUAUCAAAAGGCGUUAACAAAUUCCCACAAUUGGGACACAAAUUAGCCAACUUAAUUCAGAAGAUUACUUUAUCUUUUGACCAUGAAAACCAGAAUAAAGAGGCUAUGAGCGUUAAGAAUAUGCUGUUGAAACGGAAAUAAAAUAUUAUUUGUGAAUAAAUUAAUUGCUUACUUGGUGUUUCCCCUUUUAGACCUUGCCCAAAAAGUAAACCAAAAUUAUAAACAAGAGAAGAUAUGAAAAGAACUUACUUUAAUUACGAAAUCUUUAAAUUUACAAAGAUGUCUUAGAAUUUACCAAGAUGGUGAAGAUUUGAGUACAAGUGUGAUAGUGUGCUUUGUGCUUUCUUCGGUGUGUGUUUCUUUCGUGAGAGGUGUGGGUAUUUAUAGACACUGGUACAUCAUGUUUAUUGUAUUGGUGUUGUAAGUGUGCUAUCAAUAAUUGAAAAAUACCAUGCAAACUUUACAGGUGUGCGAUCUAAAAUCAAAGAAAAAAAUAAAUAAUGUACAAUUCUCCAUGUGAGUAAUUAAAGAAUGAAUUAUUUGAAAAAAUAUUUCUGACAACUUUUAUCUUCACGCCUGACUUUGCUUGGAAUAUGGGAAUCAACUUUGCAGAUGAUUGAAAUAUAUUCAAAAGCUUUAUCUUUACGCCUCUUCUUUUUUACUUCCUUGUAUUGGUAUAAUUCUUUGUCUUUCUAUCUUGUCCUUUUCAAUUAUUUAUUUGUCCAUCAUUUCUGCUAUGGCUUCUUCUAGUUUUGGAUCUAUCUCAUUAUCAUUCCCAUCAGAUAUGUAUGCUUCAUCUUCUGUAUCUGAUAGAGUUUCUGUAAAUUCUCCAUUGGUCUUUUGAAACUCCAUUAGAUAUAAAUUCUUUUGUUCAACAUUUUAUACUAUAAUUUUUUCUGCUUUAGUUCUCAUAGCAAGGUGCUCUUAGCAGAAAAUAACUCCGUAGUUCCAUUGUGCUGCUACUCUUAAAUUAUUAUUUUGAACUUCCAUCAUGGUCGUGGUUUCUGAUAUCCUUCUUUUAUAAUCAAUUUGUUUAAUUUUUAUUUUAAUAUUCGUCCUUUAAGAGGAUCUAAAUCUUUUGGUUCCUUCGUAAAUUAAAAUACAAUAAUAAGCUGGAAUUACAAUGUCAUUAUUUACACGAGGGAGUAUGGAAAUGAAUUGAAUCAUUAAGGGAUGGUGUUUUAGCUGAUCAAUAAUUUGUUUAAGUUUCGGUGGAAAAAAUCGAAAAGAUAUGUUUAAUAUGUAUAUAUCCACCGAAAAGAUAUGUUUAAUAUGUAUAUAGUAUCUAUCAUUCCAAAGUGUAAAGUUGGGUAAAAAAGGUCUUCCUCUUCAAAAAUUGUACAAUGAAAGGAAAUUGUUGGAUAAUUGUGUCUAAGAAAUGUUGAAUUUUGGGCUGCGUCGUAUUUGGGAUCAUGUCUAAGGAAGUAUCUAUUUUCAUUAUGAUAGUAACUUAAAUUUUGAGCAAAAUCUAUAAUUUUCUGUACAACGAAAUUCUUUAUAGAACUUCAAAUAAUACUAGCGCAAUUACCAAUUUUCUGUUCUAAUUCGUAGAAAGUCUUUUCUUGUCCUGCAACUAUAGAAUCUGUUAGUUCAAUAAGUCUUUCUAUCUUAUCAGAAUAAUUUUUAAUUGUAGAGUCGAUGUCUUUAGAAAUGAGUUUUGCAAGUGCAUCUCUCGAACUAAGUAUGUCUAAACUAUUAUGCAAUUUAAGAAUCUCAUUUUGAUAUUUACUAAUAGUUUGUUAGGAUGAUGAAAUUUGAUAUUCAAGGAGUUGUAGUCUUUCUUCUAAAUAAUGCUUUUUAAGAUUUAAAUUUCUAACAACUUUGGUCAUAAUUUUACAACUAUCACAAAGUUGUAUUGAUGAAGAUGAUGAUGAAACUUCAGAGGGGGUUUGCAUGAUCUGUCUAAUUCUUUUGGAUAUAUGAAAAUUAAAUCCUAUCAUUUCUCUACCAAAAUUUAAAGUUUCUUCAAGUGUAUAAAAUCCUUUGAAAAGGGGAUCGGGAAAUCUUUCUACUUGUUGUAGUACUUCUGGCCAAUAAUUAUAUAUUCCAAGCUUUUUACUUUUAAUUACUGCAAAGAAACUAAAAUUUUUGCUUUCUAAUUUAUUAUGAAUCUGUCUAAAAUGGUUAGUUAAAGCAUUAAUGUUGUCUAAUUUUUGUUUAGAGUUACGUGUCAUCCAAAGAUUAUCCAGUAGACAACGCUUCCUUUUUUAUAGUCUUUCUAAAUUAUUUCAUCUGAAUCGAAAAUUAGAUCCUUGAGGGGCCACUCUCAAAGUAACAUUCCCAAAGUUCAUCAUCAUUUGAUCCAUCUGUAUCAUGAAGAUAAUGAGUUAGAAAAUUAAUAACUUGCCUACUUAAAUUAUCUGCUAAAAUAUUAUUUUUUCGUCAAUAUAUUCUAAAUUAAUUUUAUAACUGCUUAAUAUCUCAUAUAAUUUCAACCAUCUUUUAUGUCUUAUCUUAUCAAAAUUUGUCUUUUUAAUAAAUUUUAAUAUAGUUUCACAAUAUGUCAUAAUUGUAAAUUCAGUAUUUAAAAAUAAUUUAAAACUUUCUAUACUAUAUAUGAUGGCCAUUAUUUCGUAAUCUAAACUAGUUAAAUAUUUUCCUUUUAUCUUGUAUUUUUUGCUAUGAUAUUUACAAAUUUUUUUCUUUUUUUUUAUUACUAUAUUUAUUUGGCUUGGAAUAUAAAAUUUCUCCCCUUCCUAAUUCACAUCCAUCCGUUUAUCUUAUUUUAUAUUCACUAUUGAAUGGUAAUUCUAAUGGUGGUAAAUUUUUAACUUCUACUUUUAUCUUUUUAACUAGUUCUAUAUCUGAUUGAUUAAAAUAUUUUUGUUCUUUAUUAGACAAUUUACUAUACAAUGGUCCCACUUUCCUUCCUAAAUCUUUAAUAAAAUGUUCAGCAUAAUUUAAUAUUCCUAAAAAAGCUUGUGAUUUCUUGGUUUCUUCAAUUUUGUCCGAAAAUUGUGAAAUUGUCUGUACUAUAUGUGGUUGUAACUGAAUCUUUCCCUCUCCUAAAAUUAUUCCUAAAAAUUCAAUUUUUUGUUUAUUUAUUUCCAUCUUCUUUUUACUUAUAAUUAAAUCAUUUCUAUAAAUUUAUUCAAGGUUAUUUCUAGAUGUAUCAUAUGUUCUUUAUAAUUUUUACGAUGUGCUAGAAUAUCAUCUAUAUAUACACAAACAAAUGUAAGAGAAUUAAAUAUACUAUCCAUCUUUUUUUGAAAAAUAAAGGAUGCAUUUUUUAAUCCAAAGGGCACGACUAACCAUUUAAAGUGUCCUAAUGGAAUGGUAAAAGUUGUCCCAGAAAUAGAUUCUUUUGCCAUUUUUAUUUGCCAAAAUCCAAAUUUACAAUCAAAUUUAGAAAAUAUCUUGUUAUUUUGUAUUUUAUUUAUUAGCAUAUCUUUAUUUGGUAUCUUAUAUCCAUCUUCUACAGUAUUGUUGUUUAAUCUUUUAUAGUUUAUAACCCUUCUUACUUUUCCUCUUUUUAUUUCACAAUGAUUUCUAAUGAUAAAGGCUGCUGAUCUGUGUUAACUGUUAGACGGUCUUAUUACUUUUAAAUCUAAUAAUUCUUUAAUCUGUAUGUUAAAAUCUUCUACAGUAUUGUUAAAAUCUUCUACAGUAUUGUUGUUUAAUCUUUUAUAGUUUAUAACCAUUCUUACUUUUCCUCUUUUUAUUUCACUAUGAUUUCUAAUCAUAAAGGCUGCUGAUUCGUGUUGACUGUUAGACAGUCUUAUUAAUUUUAAAAUCUUCUAUAUCUUGAUUCGUAUGUUUUAUUUCUGUUGUUCUAAUUUUUAUAUUUUCAUUUAUUAUUUCUAAUUUAGUUUCUAUUUUAUUUUUAUCCCAAUGUUUUAUAGGGUAUUCUCCUAUUAUUUGAAUCUUUUCAGUUAAUUUUAAAAUUUUGUCUAUACUAUCAAUCUUAGAAGAUGUCUUGUUAAAAAUUAUUAAUUCUUUAUUUCUUAGUAUAAAAUCUAUUUUUAAAGUUUCUAAAGAUAAAUUAUCUAAAAAUUCUAAAUUUUCUUCAAUUUCUGAGUUUGGUUCUGGUUGUAAGGGUCCACCAUGCUUAACUCGCAACUCUGAAGAUUUUAUAGUAUUAAUAAUAGAAGUGUCUUUUUAAAAAAUUAUAGUCCUAAUUUUAAUUAAAAUGAAUUGAAUGUUCAACAAAAUAAUCUAAAAAUAUAUGAAUAAUUAAUGAUAAAUAAAUUCAAAAAUAAUUCAAAAAUUUUAAUUUCAUCUCAAAGAAAAUUUCAUAAUUUUAAAAAAAAACUUUUUAGAAUUUCUAAGUAACGACCUACCGAUCUAAUCACUGAUCCACCGGUUUAACCACUAAUCCUUAACCCGGUACCUUGACCGAGUCGAUAUCCGGAUCGGUGUACCGAGUCGAUAUCUGGAUCGGGUUUAAUAAGUCCAAUCUAUCCCACCUCCUGUCCGGUCCGAUCUGUCCAGAUAUGAAAUUGAUGGUCGAUAAGCCCUUUUUUCAAGAGGAAAUACCUACAAAUAACCUAAAUAUAAUUAUGAAUUAUGAAAUUAGACCUGAAAAUAUAAUCAUUUGAAGAAUAGUCUUUGAAUUAUAAUCUUUCCAAAAAUACCCCUCAUAGAUAAUUUGCAACCAAAUCCAUUACAAUGUAUAAGAACUUUCAAUUAGGUCCUCAAAGAAAUAUAGAUCAUGAAUCUUUAAUAAAUUUAACCCCAAAUAUUAUACAAAAUUUUAUUGAUCUAAGAAAUGCAACAGAUGAUAAAUUAAAUUAUCUAAAAGAAGAUCUGAAGAGUUUAUUUACAGAAUAUUUAGAUCCAAAAUUGUAGAGCAAUUAAAAUAGAAAAUAAUAUACAUAAACAAAUUCUUGAACUAGAAAGAAGAAUUAACAAAUUAAAUGUAAUUAUUAAAGAAAAUGUUUUGACAAAAGAUAAUGAAUUUUAUAAAUUAUAUUAUAAUAUUUUAAAAACUUAUGGAGAAUUUAAUUGGAUUAAAAAACUUAAUCCCUCCGCUGCACACUCUCCAGAAACGGUAUCAGAGCCAUGUUACGAACCUAAAAUUAUGAUGAAUAUAGUAGAUAAAGAAAAUAUAAUUGAAAAAUUUUUGGAAAAAGUUGAAAAACAUAAAAAAACCAAGUUAUCCCUACUUACCUAAAAAUACCACAAAUGAAAGUUUUGAGGAUAUACACAAAAAACUAGAAAAUUUAGAAUAUAAUCUACAAGUAGGAAAUACUCUUUUAGAUAAAAAUCUUAAAGGAAAAGAUAAGAUUAUAAUUAAUCCACCUCAAGAUUAUAGGAUAACACAAAAAGAACAUAACAAAGGGAAAAAAUAUGAAGAAAAUCAAUAUAUGAUUACAGUUGUAGAAGAAUUAGAACAAAAAUUCUUAGAAUCUAUUGGUGAAGUCUAUGAUAAAUAUAAAAAAUAGUUAGAGGAAUUGACUGAAAAAAUGGAAAAUAAAAAGAUGAACACUAAUCCAUCAACAAGUCGAGAUAUAAAAAUAGAAUUCAGUUGUGAUGAAGAAUAUGAUUAUCCUUAUCAUACAACGAUGCCUAUUAAAGAAGGUACUAAUCAAUAUAGAAAAACACAGAAAAAAUACACUGGAAACAUAAGAAAACAAUUCAUAAAAGAAACAAAUCUAAUGAAGUCUUAUAAUGAACCAAUCCACACAAUAGGAAUAUGGUUAGAUCUAGACUGUGUAGAUAAAAAUAAAGCUAUUGAAACAUGGAUGAAAAGUACCGACUUAGCAAUACAAUUUAAUAAAUGGGAGACAUAUAUAGCUUUUGGAUUUAUAGAACAUACAUUCAAAGGAAUUGUUUUUGAAUGGUGGAGAAAGUUACCAGAAAUUAUAAAAGGAAGAGUAAAGUAUGGAGAAAAUAGAACUGAAAUAUUAGAUAAUAUGAGUACUUUAAAUGAUCAAAAUAUACAAUAAAUAUUAAAAAGGUUUGAAAGAGUCUUAAGAACAGAGUUCUUGGGAGAUAGAUAUAUUUCUAAUGAAGAAGAAAGAAAACAAGAUGAAUAUAAUGAAGGAAUGAUAUCAAUGAAAAAUUUAAAGAUAUGUGAUAUGUGUGAAUUAGAAAGAUAUAUAUGUAAAUUGAAGAAUUAUACUAUAUAUUAAAUCAAAAAGAUUAUCAAGAAAAUAAGCCUAUAUUAAAGUUUUAUUUUACAAAGUUACCAUUCCCAUGGGAAAUUAAGUUAUUAAAAUAAUAUGAAAAGAUAUUACCUCUAGGAGAAGAGGGAGGAGUAAAAAUAGAUAGUCUUGGAAGUAGAAUUGAAUUUAUAAAAAGAAUGAUAGGCAUAUGGUGCCGAGAAGCUCUAGAGAAUAAGAAAGCAUAUAAAAUAAGAAAAAAUUCCUUGUGUUGUUAUAAAGAUAUAGGCCAAAUUGAACAAUUUGGAUGUCAUAAGAAGAAAUAUAAAUCAUACAAGAAAUAUAAAAGAAAAAUCAAAAACUACAAAAAAUUUAAGAAAAGAAAUUUUAAACCACACAAAAAAUAUUUCAAGAAAAGAAAUUGGAAUAAAAAAUUCAAACAAAAAAAUUAAAAAAUGCAAAUAUUUCAUCUGUAAAGAAGGACACAUUGCCAUUCAAUGUCCUAAAAAGAAAGAUAAACAAAAUAUAAAAACUCUUAGAAUUUAUAAAAAAUUCCAAGAAGAUAGUGAUAUAAAACCAAUUGAAUAUUUUGAAAAUUUAAGUAGUGAAUGCAGUUGCAUUUAUGAAUUAGAUACAUCCUCAUCAGAAGAAGAUUCUGAGGAAAUAGUAUAUAUGAAUCAAGACAUACAACAAGCAAAUCUAGAAAUAGAAGUUGAAGUUGAAGACUUUAUAGAAGGUAUAAAUCAAGAAAUUACCUUUGAUAUUAAAAAAUACAAAGGAAUAACCAAGAAAAUAAUUGACUUACAAGAAAAAGAUAUAUUUAAUCAAGAAUUCUUAGGAAUACUACCAAGAGUAAAUAAAAUAACUGUAAGUAUGAAUUAUAAAGAAAUGUCUACCAAUAUAGAAGAUAGGAUAGGAAAAGCAAGAAUUCCUAUAAUUACAAAAGAAUGGGUAAAACAAAAGUUAUCCAAAAUUUCGGAAAACGUAAGAAAAAAAUUAAAAUGUAUUGAAAUAGGAGGAGUCCAGAUAAUGAUAAAAAGAUUCUUUAGAGAAGGUAUAAACAUACCAAUAGAAAUAUAUUGUAUGGACAACAGAAUCUUACAAGAUCUUAUUGAUGCUCUGUUAGGAACAGUUGUAGAAAAUUUAGUCUAUCAAAAGAUAAUAUUUACAGUAAAAUCAAAUUAUGCAAUAUCACUAAUUGAUGAAAAUAUUGACCAAAGUUUCAAUCUAUAUUAUAGAAUUGGAAACUUAAAAAUGUUACGAAAAAGUAAGGCUAUUAGUAUAAGCAUAAAAUCAAUUUUUGCUUUUAGUACUGGCCAUCAUAAUAAUUUAAGAAAAAUGACUGAUAAUAUUAUUAUACAUAAAGAUUUUGAGGAAUUAGCACAAUAUAUACCUCCUAGGAAAUAUCAAGAACAUGAAGUCACUAUACCAGAACAGAUAAUGCUUGAUUUCCACAAAUAAGUUAGAGAAAUUAAUUCUGAAGGAAAACUGAUAAGAAGAAAUAGUGUCAGCCUAGAAGGAGAUAAUCUCAUUGCAAGAUUCCCCUCUAGACAAGACUCUAAGAUAAGCAAACUCAAGAAAUUAAGUAUUGCCGAACCAUCAAGUUCACAAUAUUAUAUCAAAACAAGAUAUGUAAACCAAGAAGGAUAUAAGAAGAAUCUUCUUGUCCUCAUUGACACUGGAGCAGAUAAAAGUCACGUAAAUGCUAAAUUUGUUAGUCAUUUAAUAGAUUUUGAAAUACCAGAACUAUAUAUAUUCAAAGAUUAUUUAGGAAAUAAUCUUGAAAUAAGAAAAUAUGUAAAGUUCCCUCUUAUACUUAUGGGAGAGGAUCACAGAGAAUAUACUAAAGAAAUAAUUCUAUACAAAGAUGAAUUAUAUGGAAUAGAGCAUUCAACUAUACUGCUAGGAAUGAACUUUCUUGAGAAACAUAGUCUUUAUAAAAUCUGCCAAAGAUAUUUAAAAAUAACAGUUGAUGAUAAUCCAAUCAUCACUUCAAGAAUAGAUGAAAAUAUGAAAUCAUUGUUAUCAUGGAAAGAGUAAUCAGUACUAAUUCCGUGGGUCCAUAUAUUGAAAUUAUUCUCAAUAUAAAAAGUUAUUGCAGAAUUAAAUUUCAUGUUUACUUAUAUACAUGAAGUACAAUUAGCUUAUGCUUACCAAAUGUAUUACCAUCUGAAUACUGGAAAUAUAAUUCAAAGAAAAUCGUCACCGCUACAACAGCAGUUGGAAAUAAGGUAAUAUAUAGCAAAUAUGCUACGCAAGUACAUUUUCUAAUUUCCUUUAGAGAAAUAUUUGUUGAUACAAUAUAUAUGUCAAACACAAUUGGAUGUGAUAUUUUAUUAGGACAAAAUUUCUUAUUAAAAUAUGCACCAUUUACACAAUAUAUUGAUAAAUAUAUGUUCACAACUCCUUGUGCACAUAAAAUAUUUACACCAAAAAAUAAAUAAGGCAGUUAUUAUAGCAUAUAAAGACAUAAACCAUCAGAGUUCCUCAACCCAGUGUGGUGGAUGUUGGAGUACAAAAAAAUUUAAACCAGUUACAGUCCUAAAAAUGACAACAGAAAAUAGGUUAGAAAAAUUGAAAAAAGAAAUUUCUGAAACAUAUUCUGAAAAUCUAUUAGAAAAAUAGAAUACAGAUAAAGUAAAAGCAAAAAUAGAAUUAAUCAAUCCAGACACUAUAUUAAGAGUCAAACCCAUGAAAUAUAGUGUAGAUGACCAAAAGGAAUUUAAAGACCAAAUAAAAGAACUGCUAGAAGCCAAAUUAAUUAGGCAUAGUAAAAGCCUACAUAGCAGUCCAACCUUUAUGAUUAGAAAACAUAGUGAGAUAAAAAGAGGAAAAGCCAGGAUGGUGAUAAAUUAUAAAAAGUUAAAUGAAGUUACCAAAUUUGAUGGAUAUUACUUACCAAAUAAGGACACUCUUAUUAAGCAAGUACAAAAUAAAAAGAUAUUCUCAAAAUUUGAUUGUAAGUCAAGUUUUUAACAAAUCAUGCUUACAGAAGAAAGUAAACCACUAACUGCAUUUAGUACCCUCAAUUGUUUAGGACAAUACGAAUGGAAUGUAAUGCCAUUUAGGUUGAAAAAUGCACCACAGAUAUUCUAAAGAAGAAUGGAUGAGGUAAUUAAACCAAUUACUCAUUUUUGUAUUGCAUAUGUAGAUGAUUUACUUAUUCAUUCAAAUAACAUUGAAAAACAUAUUGAAUAUCUUGAGAAAUUUUGUUAUAUUAUGAAAAAAUAUGGUAUUAUAUUUUCUCAAAAGAAAGUUGAGAUAGCUAAAACAGAAAUAGAAUUUUUAGGAUUUUUUAUAAAAGAAGGAGAAUUGCAAUUGCAAUCUCAUAUUGGAGAAAAACUUCAAGAAUUUCCUGAACAUAUCAAAGAUAAAAAAAAAAAAAAAAACAAUUACAAAGCUUCCCUGGUAUAUUGAAUUAUGUUGAAGGAUUCAUUGAAAAUUGUGCCAAACUAAAAAAUUAUUUUCUUCCAAAAUUAAGAAAAAAUAUAAUAUGGUCUUAGGAAAAACAAGAUUGUGAAAAUAUAAGAAAGGUAAAAGAAGAAUUAAAGGCAUUACCCAAACUUAUAAUUCCACAAGAAGAAAAUUUCUUUAUCCUUGAAACUGAUGCUUCAAAUAAUUAUUGGGGAGCAAUAUUAAAGGUUAAAAGGAAUCAUAAAAAAUAUAAAUGUAAAAAGAAUUAUUUUUGUCCUGAGAUACUUGCAGGUUAUACAUCGGGAACAUUCAAAAAAGUUGAAACGAGAUAUGAGAUGAACAGAAAAGAAUUCAUUGCUGUAAAAAUGGGAGUUCAAAAAUAUGAAAAUUAUUUAUUACCAAAAAAGUUCUUGAUUAGAACUGAUAAUACUCAAGUUAAAACUUUUUUAAAAAAUAAUGUUGAUCCAUCUAUUGCCAAUAGAUAUAUUAUCAGGAUACAAAUUUGGUUUUCAUACUUCAAAUUUGAUAUUGAAUACAUAAAAGGUAAAACUAACUUUCUUCCUGAUUAUCUCAGUAGGGAUGGAGCUAGAACAACUAAGGGCGAAGUCCAAAUACUUGAGAUAAAAGUUUCAUAUUUGGAAACAAAAAUUCAAAAUAUCCAAAAUAGCCUUCGAGACAAAAAUAUAGCCCUUGAGGCUGAAGUAACUUGUACCAAGUUUAGUAUCCCUUCACAAGGACCAGUUAAUACUAGCGCUCUCCCCGAAGAUAAAAGGAAAGAGAAGAAGGUAAUAGGAACCCCUUCACAAGGAAUACUUAAACCCAUUACUGGUAAGGAAGAUAUUCAAAAUAUCAAAAGCGAAGGUAGCUCUUCACAGAGCCAAACUAAAACUAAACUUUCUAUUGAAAGAAUAGAUCCAAAAGAUAUUGUCAAAAUAUGCCAUGAGACAAAUUUUCCAGAAAAGAUAACCAUGAAGAAGUCAUAUUUUUUAUUGUUAUUUUUAAUAUUUUAUCAGACUGGUAUCUGAAAAUAGGAAAGUGGAUGAAAACUCUCCACUAUGGAAAAUACAAUAAGAUAAAUUUCUAUCCAGGAGUACCAGCCAACUGGGUACAAAACUGUUUUGAGAUAGGAAAUAUAUUCUGUAUAUAUCCCAGCAAAGAUCUCAAAGAAAUAGCCCAACUUCCAGCCAAUGUCAGGAAAGCUGUAAAAAGAUACACUGAAGUAGUCAAGACAACAAACAUAUACAUCAAAUUACAUUCAGUAAUUAGGGAAUGGGAUUCCGUUCUUGAAUAUAUGCAUCCAUCAUUCCAUGAUUAAAAUGGGACUUACAAACCAACAUUUUUUACCAACCAAUCAAAAGGUUUUUAAAAAUAGAUACCAAGAUAUUAUAAAUAUGAUGCCCUACAGAAGAGCAAAAGGGUAUAAAGAAAUAUUUGAAUAUGUAACUCAGAUUAUUACUGAGAAAGAAAAAAUAUGGAUUUAUUUAUUUGAAGACCAUGUAAUCUACUCCAAUGCAAGGAUGGCUACAAAGGAAGAAGAUAUAUGUUAUUUUAACCAAUUAUUAUCCACAAUUAUCUCAAACCAAGUACAUGGAUCAGAAGAUAUGGUAAAGGAACUGUGCAAACUACUUUGGAACUACGGUGACCACCAUUGUGAAUACUGCGUAGUGGAAGAUAUGAGCCAAGCAUCUCUCAACAGUGAAGAAUUCCCUGCAAAAUUCUUUGAUUCAAAGAUGAAAAAGUGAUAGUGACAAAAGUAACCCUUUACCACUACUUUAAUAUAUUAAAGAAAAACUGUGACUACUAAAAGACAUAAGAUAAUACAAGAAAAUCUUCAUAAUUAUGAGUACUCACCUACUGAUUGACAGAAGUGGAAGACAAAUUCAAAGAUAAAGCAGAAAUUUUCAAAAAGAGAGGUCUACCUAGUAAGAAAAUAAUGGAGAAAUAGGUAUGAUAAGGGCUACACAACAAAAGAAGGAAGGGGACACCUGUCAAGAUAAGAUUCUCAAAAUCUUCUAUAAAAGGAGACAAGAGGUAAGGAAGAAGGGGGCUCGAAAAACACUCUGAAGAAUCACAUCUCAAAAACAUAUCCUUUGUAACCUGUAUACACCACUUGUAUUCAGAAAUAUUAGAUAGUCAGAAGAUAGCAAAACUUGUAAUAAGGUUAUCACUUAUGGAAUUCUAAACUUCAUAAGGUGAGUACCAAAUGUAUGUAAAUAUAGAUUGUAAGCAUGUACUAUUUCAGUUUAUGAAUAUUAAAGUAAAAUUUGUUAUGUUCAACAAAAUUUUCAUAAAAGGAUUUCGUUAAAUUUCUCUUGAUUUCUCGGCAGUACAGAUAGAGAUUUUAAAAGAUUUUCAAAACAUUGAUUUUGAAUGGAUGUUAGCCAUGUCAAAGUACCUUUCUUUGAUGAAUGGUUUAGGGGAAAAAGACAGUUUUCUAACAAAAUCAAAGCACUUUGUGUGUGAGUUAUCUUUUAAAAUUUCAUUCCAAGUAAGAACUUGGUUCUGAAAAGAGUUUGAAUAGAGGUGAAAACAGAGACUCUGAAUACUGUGAGAUAGCGUCUAAGGUAACGCGGCUAGUUCUCUAGAGUGAGAAAUGCAACCUUAAUUGAAAAACCUUUUGCGAAAGCAGUUGUGGACCCAAAUGAAAAAAACUUUUACUUGAUUUAGAAAAUUGAUUAAGUACAUGCAGAGCAUCUAUAAGAGCAUAUUGGAGGGAAGGCCUGUUUACUUCUAUUCGAUUACUGUAAGUUAUUUACUCGUUUUUACAUGCUUAUGCUUUGAUUAAUUUUGAUAAACAAUUCACAAGCAUCCACAUCCACUUCUAAUGAUGAUAAAACUAGAUUAUAUUUAGAUGAGAAAGAUAUUUCGUUUUUACUUAAAUUAACUGAAAAGUCUCGAGACAUAUUUUCUGUUGGUUAAGAAAAACUUGAAGAAAUAUAUAGAGAUAUAGAUUAUUAUUGUGAGCAUAAUAUAAGAUUUGAUUCUGUAAGAACUAGUAGAGAAAUAAAAAAGAUAAAAGAUAUUAUAACUAAACAUAAAGAUAUACAAGAAGAAGUUUCAAAAGGAAUAAUUCUAGAAUAUAUAACUAAGAAAGAUCAGCCUAGAAUCUUUGAAAAAUUAUAAAAAUACAGAGAAUAUCUAGAGGUAUUUGAAAAAUUAAAAAAUACAAACAUAAGUCCUAAUUAAUAAAUCUCGAAAGGAGAAGAAAUAUUGAAAGACUUAGAAAAGAGAAGAAUACAUCUUGCAAAUAAUAAAAGUAAGGGUAAAACAAUAUUUUCUAUAGUUAAGGCUAUUGUGGAAAAUAGAACAAAUAUUUAGGUCAUUCAGAAAAUUGACCCCUUUUUUCAAGCAGGUGAUUUCUCACGAAUCGGUCCUAUAGGGUUUGGAGUAAACACAAGAACGGGGUACUUUUAAGUUUGACUCAGUCAAAUGACCUAAAUUUCACUUUGACUUUCAAAAUCAUGAAUAUUAUGACAUUGACCUCUUGUAUGGUAAAAGACAAAGAUGCCCUUAAAUAUUUUGUACAAUUACAAAACAAUAUAUUGUUGAAAGGACUUUACUACCCUUUUAGUUAAUAAUUGAAAACCAAACACUUCCCCACUUAUAAAAACUUCAAAAUGAGCUUCCAACAUAGAAAAAACUCUCAUCUUUUCAUCUACUUGAACCUCAAAAUCUAGAAAAACUUUAAAACGUUGAAGCUGAAAUUUUUUUUCAUAUCAAUUACUUCAAAUCGGUAAGUACAUUUACGCAUGUUUAAUUUCAUUUUCAGUAAAUUAGUGAAUGUUUGAAUAGAGAAAUUUUAUGUCGACAUAGUAGUUAGCAUAAUUUUUUUUAACAGAUCUUACCUAUUAAAAAAAAUUGAAUAGAUGUAUAAUAUUUUUCUUUAGAACCGUAGAAGAGUUCCUGCGCAAAAACAGCCAAAUAAUCCGACUGUUUAACAGCCAAACAGUCCGACUGUUUAAGACUAUUUGGCUGUUAACAACUGACUAUUCGGCUUGUUGGCACUGAUUUUUUCUUAUAAUGAAUAAAUGAAGUUGAUUAAAUCUAUUUCUUCAUGCAGAUAUGAUAAUCCCCGUCUAUUAUUUCGGUGAUUUCGAAUUGAAUGAAAAUAAUCGGUGGGAAUGGAGAUUGACGAGUGAUAGAUGUGGUUGUAUUGCAAUUCCCGUAACAGAUAGUACACCAUACUUAGAAAUGUACAACGAUUUACAAAAUAAGCUGAAUGUCGAUCAAUCUCAAUACGAUAUGUAAUUGAGAUAUCUAUUCAACGGUUAUGGUGAUUCAUCCAUUCCGAUUCCACCGGUAGUCGUUACUAAUGAUGCUGAAUUGAAUUAUCUAUUAGAAUUGAAUAAAAUGCUUCGGACUUCGACUGCUCUUGGUGUGACUUUAGUUAAGAAGGAUGUUAUUGAAGGUGAACGCGAAUAUUCAAAUAGGGCGGAUAAUAAUGACCGAGGUUUUUGGGAGACAGUGUGGAGAUAGUUCCUGCGAAUGAUGUGGUUAUUCUUGAGACAGUUGCUCUUAAUCGUGAUGUCGCUAUUACGCAUAGAAUUCCAUCGAUAGUUGAAGACAAUGAGAAUAUAAAUGAGUUUACAGAUGAGAAAUUUAUUGCUUUAUCCCGACAGAGACAUGAGCUGGGUGGGAGCUCAUAGGUUGGAACAAGUGGACCGUUCUCCAAUUCUUUUCGUGUGGCUCCCAAUGAUGAGAACUUUCAGGUCGAGCAACUGUUUGAAACCAAGAAAGAUUUGCAGGAAGUUGUGGACCGACUGACAUUAAAAUAUAACUUUGAGUUCAAGGUAAAGAAAUCGAACAAGUCAUUGUUGACAGUUGCCUGCGUUGAAGACAGUUGCAAUUGGUGCUUGAGAGCAACUGAGAUGGACACGAAUGAGUACUUCGUAAUUCGCUAGUAUUCACGGGAACAUACUUGCGAAGUGAAAAUUCUUCGAAACGAUCACAGGCAAGCUCGAGCAUGGUUUAUUGGUUGACAGAUAAUGCACAAGUAUCAGGACUCACGGACGAUCUACAGACCUUCGGACAUCAUUAACGACGUCCAUCGAGAGUAUGGAGUGGUCAUGGGCUACCAGAAAGCCUGGAAGGCCAAAGAAUGUGCGUUGGAGGAUUUAAUGAGAUUGGCUGAAGAGAGCUGUGCUAAAUUGGCUAGGUAUUGCCAUAACAUGGGGACAACUAAUCCUGGCACGACAUUUUUAUUGAGACAGGGGGGCGAUAAUUGUUUUAAAUAUUUCUUCAUGGCUCUCGGACAACGUAUUCGGGAUUUUCGAAAUGCAAUGAGACCCAUAAUUCUAGUUGAUGGUACAACUCUGAAAGCUAAAUAUCAAGGCAAAUUAAUUAUUGCAACAUGUCAAGACGCCAACAUCCAAAUUUAUCCUAUUGCAUUCGGCAUAGUCGACAGCGAGAAUGAUCUGUCCAUGCGUUGGUUCUUUUCUUAACUGAGGGAAGUGAUCGGGGAAGUCGAAGACCUUGCCAUUGUAACCGAUCGGGGACAGUCUAUAAUAAACGGUAUCGCUGAAGGUUUUCCCGAGGCACGUCACAGGUAUUGCAUGUAUUAUAUACAAGGUAAUUUGAAGACUAGGUAUCGAGGCACAGACAUCGUUUCAUUGUUCAGGAGAGCAAUCGAAGGUUACAGUGCUGAAGAGUGUAAUAAGUUCAUGAUCGAGAUAGGAAGUAAAUCAUUACCGGCGUUGGAGUAUCUGACGAACGUGGGGAUCGAACAUUGGGCGCGGUCAUACUUUCCAGGACGUCGAUACAACAUGAUGACGUCGAAUAAUGCGGAGUCUCUCAAUGCAUUGUUUAAGAAGGAUCGAGAGUUAUCAAUUCUCGCAAUGAUUGAGAACAUUCGUAACAAGCCACAACAGUGAUUUCAUAACCGACGUGCGGCAUCACAGAGUUGCACUAGCGUGUUGGCCCCAGCUCAAGAGGAGAAACUGUUUAAGGCAGCAGAGGUUGCGAGGAAGUUGAAUGUGGAAGCACUAGAUGAGUUUCGCUUCUCCGUGCAAUUUGCACGUAAUACGGCAUAUAUGGUGGAGUUGACUGAUAACACAUGCACUUGUAUGAGAUUUCAGUUGGAGAGUUUUCCAUGUGAGCAUGCAGUUGCGGUGGCCAUAUAUCGAGGCUUUGCUGUGAGAACGUUAUGCUCUUUGUAUUAUACGACUGAGUCUUGGAGAACAGCAUAUGCUGAGACUAUAUUUUCUCUACCGAAUGAAGCCAAGUGGGAAGUUCCCGAGCACAUUCUCCCAUUUCAUAAUUUGUUGCCACCAGCAGUUGAACCGCGUGGUUCUGGACGUCCAAUUACAUAUAGAAUACCAUUUACCGGAGAGUUUCCUCGACCACGUAGGUGUGACAGGUACAGAGCCGUAGGGCAUACUCGACAAUUUUAUACCAGUCAAAUUUCCCUAAAUGACGAUUAGACAGGUACGUUAAAUAAAUAAUAUUUCCUUUUACUUUACACUGUUCAAUAUUUGUUCUUUAUAAAUUUUCAAUGUUCAAUAUUUAUUCUUGAUAAAUGGUAUUUAUAAUGAUUCAUAUAAAAAAAUAGUUCCAUACUCGGUCUACGUGUAAAAUAACAAAACAAAAAAUAAUUAAAUUUUCAGUGUGAAUGUUAUAUACAUUGAUCACAAAUUUACAAUUAUUUCAUAAUCACAAAAAAUAAUUAAAUUUACAAUUGAAAUGUUACAUAUAUGUAAUACAAAUUUGCGGGUCAGCAUUAAAUUUGAACAAAUCACAUGCUAGCUUCUUUCUCCAAUUCUGUAUCCACGACUGGUUGAUUCCAUCAACCUUAUGCCCUAUACUUAAAAAUUCAACGUACUUAAUGGCAAAUAUGCCGCAGUCGCCGCUGCAAUUGAACAAAAAUAAAUCAAUUCAGUACUGUGUAACUAAAAACUAAAUCUGAAAGAUAAAAACAACAAAGUUCAAACACUUACCUUACGGACUGUCGCGCUGUCAUCGUGUUCCGAACAAUCCGCAAUCUGUCCUGUACAUUUAUCUCCUCUCGUCCGGCCAUCAUAGGAACAAUUACAACCACGGACUCUAGGUUUUGCUCCAACUGGUCUUGUGUCAAACAUGAAUGAUUUGGGUCGUACACAUAUAUAGUCGAGUCAGCAAAAAUGAUCUCCAGCGUAACAUAGUGUUUAUUGAUGCACGCUGGAAUGUACUUAUGUGUACAACCCUCCCAUGAUUUUCCCUCGACACUCGGUGAUAGUCCUAUUACCCACUCGAGCAUAUAUUCUGGCACCGUGUACUCGUUAUCCAUAAGUUCGAGCGACUAAUACUCUAUGGUAACGGCAUGCAAGAACUCGGUGUUUAAUAUGACUCGACCAUGGACAUCAAAUGAUUUUGAAUGUCUUUGAGCUCGAUCUCGCAGCAAGUCCAUGGCCAGGUCGAUGUGCUGCAGCAGGAAACACCAAAAAAGUAUGAGUUAUUCAUUUAAUAAACACAAAGUAACGUAUACAUAAAAUACACGAAAUGAAUAGUUCACUUACAUCGUUGGCGAGCCAAUCUCCCGCAGUGUUGAUAUCGUGGAAUCACUUGUAAGGGUCCGAGACCGUCCUUUGACCUAUCGUGCAGCUAACUCUGUAAAAAAAUAGGGAAAUGUUAAAAUAAGCGUAGACGAGUUAGGGUACAGUGCUUUAUUAAAAUCAUACAAUACUUACCCGGGGAUACUUCUCCGCCACUCUGUCUCGAACGCUUUCUACUUGGCAUUGUCUACCUCCCUGAAUAAGUUCGGGUGCGUCCCAUCGAUGAACAUCCUCCUCUUGGCCUCAGUCGUGAAGGGGGAAACAACAUAUUGUGACGGCACUCUCAACCUCUUGCCGACCACCUGCUCUGUCUCGUCAACAGUAUGUCUCUUACCCUCAAUCACGCUGGGCGUCUUCUCGACCUCCAGGGCCACCACUUCCGCCCCUCCAUCGGGGCCUCCCCCUCCGUCGCCACCUUCUCUGUCCCUCUCGUCAGGGCCACCCCCUCCAUAGACAACUACAAUGACUCCAAUGUCUCAUCAUGUCAAAAAUGUGGGUGACCCCCCUCUCCAUCACCAUCUCUGCCACCCUCUCGAUCAUGAUCUCCGCCAUCCCCUCUGUCCCCCCAUCGUCUGCCGGCUAAAUCUCCUCUAAGCGCCGUUACUAUAUCCUGAAGGUCGACAACGGAAGACUGUAGUAUUCCAACAUCAUGGGAUAGAUCAUCAACCCUCCCUGUCAACUCUUGUCCUAUAUCGUCGACCCUCCCUUCCAAUUCUCGUCCCAGAUCAUCGACCCUCUCCGUCAAAUCUCGUCGUAGCACGCCGACCUCCUCCGCUAUAAAUCCAGUCAAACGGGCAUACAAAUCAUCACUGUGUGUCGAAGACACACGGGGGAGGUGUCUGGACGGAGGUGAUGCCAAUGGUGGGGACGAUACUCUCGGCGGAGGUGAUGCCAAUGGUGGCGGCGAUACCCUCGACGGAGGUGAUCGUGGAUCAGUUGGACCACCCUCCUAUAUAAAUAACAUUAUAAAUUAUUCAAUAAAUUUAUACGUCGACGAUAUUCAAUAAAUUAUAUUUCAUUCACAUACCCAAUCUCGGUUCGAGCUUGGAUCAGACAUCUCCUCGUCUGGGGUGUGCGGAAUGCCUAAAUCCCGCACAAGACCCCGAGCCUCCUCUUCCAUCAAUGGUGUCAACUCAGGUAUGACUUUAAACUGACAUAUUGACAUUUUAACUACUUAACGAUCAUGUAAACAGAAUUUUAAACUACGUAUAAUAUAAAUCACAAAUGCAUAAUACUUACCUGAGGAUCGUCGAGGAGGGCCGAUAACUGUUUCCCAGUGGAACAUCCCUUCGCUCGCGAUGAUCUCCAAUGAUGCAUCCGAGGGCAGCGUGUCUCCCCUCGCUGCGCAAAGCGGGCCCCCAGUACAGGGACUGUCUCAUACACCCAAAUCUGUAACACAUACACUUAUUAUGCACAAAUGUAAUAUACUAAAACUUUAACUUUGAUUAUAUUAAACAUUUACCUGCACCGCUAAGAGCAAUCCAUAAGUAUCGUAUUUACGCAUCAACCCCCUGGGCCUCGAGUGUGCUCUGGUGAAGACAUGUACAGUGUCUUCGUAGUAUCUUCGGCCCUCUGAAUAAUUGUUGAACGCAUCGAUAUUGUCAACAACUUACAAAUAAAAAAUGUCGAUGACAGUCUUCUCGUGAUGACACCUCAUACACUCUCGAGGAUGUAGACCAGCCCAAGUUUCAAUCUAUCUAGCAUCUGGUCGCACCCCCUGAUCGCGACCAUCAAGUCGGGUAGAAGCACCGACCCAUGUUCCUGAAAGUACGUCUCGUACAACCUAUUGCUUUUCUCAAUGGCUGUAUUGUCGCCUGUAAUCCUUAGUCCAGUGAUCAAUGUAAACUCAAACGUCGAGAAAUUGACGACCUUGCCCCCGAGGUUGAACUGGAGGGAAUCGCCGUCAACCGGCCCCAGAAGCCGACAUAGAAGUGCAUCGAUGAUCUAUCCUGAGUAUUGCACCUCUUGCAACUGGUACAGUGGCCACAAGAAGGACUGUCGUAGCAUAUCUUUGUGCUGAUCAUCGAGCAGCUCCAACAUAGUAGUAAAACUCUCAAAGCUACUGUUCCAAGUAGCCUUCCCCGCCAUCCAUCUCAACUCCCCACUUAAAUGAUACUCCAUCCUGGAAAAAUUCAAAUGUUAGAGCAUUGAGCAAGAGAUAACAAAAUAAAGCAUAAUCUCACAAAAUCAAGGAAAUCGAAUUCUAACUACCAUACAAUACGCAUUAAAAUAAAUUAGUUAUAAAGAAAAUUAAUCACAAAUAUUACAUUUGAAAAAUAUUUUUAAAAAAAAUCAAAUUAAGUACAUUUUCAAAAAAAUUAAAGAAUAUAAAUAUUAUUUAAAUAAAUUAGAAAAAAAUUAAAGGUAAAAAUAAAAGAACAAUAAAAGGAAUAAAUUAAAUUGUUAAUUUCGGACAACAUUAUCUAUUCAUUAUUAAAUUAUAUAAAAAAAGACAAUUAUAAGAAUUACAUAAAUAAAUAACAUCAUUAUUAUUUAAUCAAAUUAAAAUAAAUUAAUUAUAAAGAAAAUUAAUCUUGUAAUCAUUUGGAAAAUAUAUUUACAAAUAAAAAAUUCCAAAUUAAAUAUUUUUAAAAAAAUGUAAAAAAUAUUUAUAUUAUUUAAAUAAAUUUGAAAAAAAAUUAAAGAUUAUUUCAUAAAAAAAAGGGAACAAUACAAAAUUGUUAAUUUUAGAUAAUAUUCAAUUAUUUAUAUUAAAUAAAAGACAAUUAUAAAAAUUAAAUAAAUAAAUAACAUAAUUUAGUUUUAAUGAAAUAAAAAAUUAAAUUAAUUACAAAAAUUAUAAAAAAAUAAAAAUUAAUAAAUAUUUUCCAAAAAAAAUUGCAGGCUGUUUAGCAGUCAUGGGCCGACUGUAAAUAGCCGGCCCAAGACUGUUAAACAGUCAUGACAGUUGGCCCAUUGACUGUUAAACAGUCAUGGGUCGACUGUUAAUAGUCAACCCGACUGUUAAUCGACUGUUUUUUUACCGUCUUUCACUAAAUUCGUCGGAAAUUGCCAUUGCCGACGUCAUAGAGGUCCAAAAAUUACAAAAAAAAUCACAUUUUUCACCCCAGCAUGCCCACAAUCUAACUACUCAUACUCAUAAGAUCUAAUUAAACCCAUUAAAUGUCAUAUUAUUCAAUAAAUUAACUGGAACAAAAAAUUUAAUAUUAUUCCAUUUUGACAAAAAUCUGCGAGAAAACUAACUAGUAUCUUUCUUUCCGGUGUAGAUCGUGCUUCUGGUCGGCGAUUUAACUCACUACGACGUUGAUGUAGUUGGCCGGUGGUUGGUCGGUCAAUUUUCAGGCAACUGUGCGACGGUUUGUUUCUUGGUCGGUCGGUUAGAGAGUUUUUGUUUGACAGUCACAGUGUUGAAGGGUAAAAUCGUUCUUUUAGUGUAAAGUUUUUUUUAACUUAAUUUUUUUAAUUCAUUUAUUGGGUCAAAUGCCAAUGUCAAAAUUUGCUAGAGCCAUUUUCGUAUAUUUCCUCUGCAAGAACUGGAAUUACAUUGGAAGAAUUGAGAACAGGGACGUAUUGGAGGAUGCUUUUUGAGAACUUCUCCUUCUUAGGAGAAAUCAUACAUAUAUGUUUGUGGGAUUCGAGAAGUUAUUUUGAUUAUUUUUCCUGUGGGUUUAAUUCAUUAAUCAUUUAUCCUAAUCAAGAUUGGGAGAAAGAGGUGCACCAUAAGGAGGAUAAUGUAUAUACUGUGCGUGAUUCAGAAGUGGUCAAGGAGGAUUGCUACCAUGUCGCCAUGGUCAGUGAUUCCACUGAUUGCGCUUUGGGCUCUAUCGCAGUUGUUGCCCCCUUUUUCCGUUUUGAAAUCGCAUCUCCAAGGCUGGCGCACGUGUUCGUGCUGUUAGUAACCCUUUUUUGGUACGAGAUUUUGAUGCCUAGGUUGUUUGCCUGGCGGGUCUGGUGGAAUGCUAGGCUUAAGGAGAGGAAGAGGCUUGAGGCUAUUGAAAUUCAGAAGCUGAGAAAGGAUGCUCUCCGAAGGUGUUGGAAUUGCUUGACUGUAUACCGGGAUCAGAAUCCUCGUGGGGGCAAGUUUACGUGCUCAUAUUGUGGGCAUAUUUCAAAGCGGCUAGUUCUCUUGAUUUGGGGAGUUAUGGUAUUUUGAAGUAUUUAGACGGGAAAGGUGGCACGUCGUUCAACGAAAAGGUUUGGUCAGAAUUAGAGAGCUAUUUUUGGGUCGAGGCACAAAAGAAAGGUGAUAAAGCAGCUCAUUGAGACUUUGCGAAAUAUUAAAGACAAGGUUUUCAAUCGUCUUGCUGAACCUACUGAAGACUGCAAGCCCUCGUCUUCUACGAAGGAGAGCAAACCCUCUACAGAAGAAAGGAACACCGGUAUCGUGGACGUAGUGGAGUUCAUUAUACAUACAUCUCCAUGAUGCGAUGUUUGGCAAUGUAAGUAUAAUGAAUUGCACAUAUUACUGAAACUGCGCAUAUUAAUAAAAAUAUAGAUUCAAACUGCACAUAUUCAUGAAAAUGUUUACCUAUAUCACUGUUAAAUAAUGUUACAUUGGAAUUGAGGGGGUCUAUAUUCUAAAGCAGAUUUUAGUUUUAUGGUUUGAUGUCACCUAUUCUCGGUGGUUCAUGUAGAAGAUUGCAGCCAUUGUUUUAAUUUUCUUGCAUCUGCAUUGGAAUACAAGCUUGCAUUUUCGCUUUUUGAAAAUCCCUUUAUUUCAUGAUUGCACUUGAAAAGCAAGUCUCUACUUGACUGUUUGAGGUUGUAGUAUGCUAGUAAACCCAAUUCUCAUUUGACUUAUUGGAUAGCUGUCUAAAGAUUGACACUAUGAGCAUGCUUGGUGAAGCUUAAAAAAUUUAUUUAUUUUAAAUAAGUGUUAAUAUAUUAUUUAUUGGUCAAAGUUAUAAGUAAAUUGCUUAUUUUGAAAAUACUGUGUAAUAGUUUUAAAAUAAGUAACUUUUCUACUUAUCCAUGUUAUUCUCUAGUAAGCUAUGAUUGAUCUCUGUCUCUAGCAACAUGAAGCUUAGGAUGUUUUCGUUUGAUGUACGUGUAACGGUGUAAAUCAACCGUUUACAACUUCUUGCAAGAGUAGUAGAGUUCUAAAUAAUAUGGGAAAUGACAAAACAAUUUAUUAUGCUUGCCUUUUUUUCAGAUGGGUCCAACUGAAACCAAGAGAUUUUGCAAGGCAUUUUUACAAGUUUAUAGUAAUCUUGUGAGUUUACUAAAUCGAUACAUUUCUUUGCUUAGUAAGCAGCCAUUAUCCUUCUUGCUAUGAUCCAGGUGUAUGAAGAACUUACAUUAGAUGCUGCUUGGAAAUUCAUAAACUCUUCAGGAUAAUAGUUGCUUUGUGCCAAUACUUUUAUGCAUGUAGCGCCUGAACUUGUUUUGAACCAUGAAGUAGUGGUUUUGAGUUAGCGUAAUCAUUUUGAAAUCUUUAGACAACUAUCCAAUAAGUCAAAUCAGAAUUGGGUUCACUAGCAUACUGCAACCUCAAACAGUCAAGUAGAGACUUGCUUUUCAAGUGCAAUCAUGAAAUAAAGGGAUUUUCAGAAAGCGAAAAUGCAAGCUUGUAUUCCAAUGCAGAUGCAAGAAAAUUAAAACAAUGGCCGCAAUCUUCUACAUGAACCACCAAGAAUAGGUGACAUCAAACCAUAAAACUAAAAUCAGUUUCAGAAUAUAGACCCCCUCAAUUCCAAUGUAACAUUAUUUAACAGUGAUAUAGAUAAACAUUUUCAUGAAUAUGUGCAGUUUGAACCUAUAUUUUUAGUAAUAUGCGCAUUUUCAGUAAUAUGUGCAAUUCAUUAUACAUACAUUGCCAAACAUCGCAUCAUGGAGAUGUAUGUAUAAUGAACUCCACUACAUCCGCGAAACUGGUGUUUCUUUCUUCUGUAGAGGGUUUGCUCUCCUCCAUAGAAGACGAGGGCUUGCAGUCUACAGAAAGUUCAGUAGGACGAUUGAAAACCUUAUCUUUAAUAUUUCGCAAUGUCUCAAUGAGCUGCUUUAUCACCUUUCGUUCAAAUCUAAAUUAAUUUGGAUUGUUAAUGAUGGGUUGGUAGAUUAGUGGAUUGCUUAAGAGAAGACUACUCAACCAAGUUCUCAAAAAUUCAUAUUAAAUUGUUUAUCAAUUGUUAAUGAUGACAGACAUUCUCCAUUCCCCCCACCAAUCGCUUCACCUUUUAUUGCGAAAAAGAAAGAGAUGCACUGUGUACUAAGUUCAAGACAACGGUUAAUAUAAAGUCUGAUUUUUAUGUUUUUUAAGAAUUAAGCACUGGGAUAUUUAUUGACCGGAGCCUGUAUGCAAGUUUGAUUGUUUUGAGUGGAAGGGUCCUAAUGGUCUAAUAGAGCAUUAUUAGGAAUUUGAACCAAUGAAAAGCUGCUUACCUUGGCCAAUGAUUUUAUAACAGGUUAAUCUUUAUUCAUUAGUUCCAAUGCUUAAACAGUACCAAAACUCAAAUCUUAUUGGCUUCAAGGAUCUACUUUUUGAGCACUAGACUUUGUUGUCAAUUUUCAGUCAAUCGGAAUUACUAUCUCGGUUUAGUGCUAUUUUUGUUGGCAAUUUUCCUUGAGGCCACACAAUUCCCUUAAUUCUCUGCUUGCGGAGUUCUUGAACUAAAGUCGCGAAUACAAUCAAAGAAUCGCGUUCCAUGUACAAAGUCGUGUUGAACUUGCCCAAGCAUAAUUUGCAGCAAACCUGUGCAUUUUUCUUCGCUCUGACAACAAUGGAUUUUCCAUUUUUUCUGCUAUAAACCGUCUUGCAAUCUACAUAGAAAUCAGUAAUCUACGUACUAAUUAGCAGGAAAAUUUGUAAUAAGAAAAAAGUGGAUAGACCUGGAUCCGGAAAACAAAAAUGGUGGCUGCGUCUGGAAUUAAUGCCUUCGCCAAAGAGAUAGCCAUUCGCAAACGCAUUGCCAACAUGUAUGUUUUUUCUUUUUAAUAUACAAAUAUUUUACUUAUUUAUGUUUUUAUGUGAAAUACAAAAAUGGGUUUUGGGCUUUUGUUGUGCUUUUAAUUGAUCAUAAAACCUAUGCAACUUUUGUUCCUUUUUAGGGGUUUUUCAUUAUUUUGUAUAAAGGUGGAAAUUUAUUGGAUUGUUUAUUUUGUUAGGCAACUGGAAUUACUUAUGCAUAGUGAAUAAUAAUAAUAAUUAUUAUUAUUUUUAGGUUUUGCAAGUGAUAAUUAGAAUUUUAUUUUUAUUUUGGAAUAUGUAGUGAAGUUGCCUUUCUUAAAUUUCUAAGAAGGUAUUGAUCUAAUGAUGAAAGGGAAAAAAGAAUAUUUCUAAGAAGGUAUUGAUCUAAUGAUGAAAUUCAAUUUUUAGGUUUUGGAGGUUUUUCUUCCAAAUUUUGCAUAUGUUUAAGAGUAAAAUUCUCCCUCAAUUUGGAGAUUUUUUAUGAAAUCAUAUUGAGAUGCAAACUUGUGGUUUAUAUAGUUGGUAACUAGAGCUCAGCUGGCAUUUAGAAGACGGAAGGUAUUGCUAUUUGUAUGAAUCCUGGGGAAAACUGUGUACAUGAGAAAAUGUGUUUAUGAAGUCACGUCUUUUUAGUAACUGAUUUUUGAUUUCCGUUUGCAACUUUGAGAAUGCUCUUCCACUCAGCUCCAUCAGAUCAUGAAGUCUGACUUUUGUCACUACUUGAUGGUUUGGUCUUGCAAUAAAGCUCCCUUCUUUUUUAAGAUAUUAAAAUAAUGACUGCAUGAUCUGAACUAUUUAAAAUCGAUGAGAGAUUAACUUCAUGUUCCGUUGUUCAUUGAAAUUACUAUUUUUCUCAUUUCUUUGUUUGAAAGUUAUGGUUGUGUUAUUGAUGUAGAAUCAAUUAAGAAGGAGAAUUAGGCAGCACAGAAGAAGGGAAAGGCAGAGAGGAAGAAUGAAGAGAAGAGGAGAGGGGAAAGUGGGGGAGAGGGGAGAGACGUGAACAACCAACCAACCAAAAUAUCUUUCAUUCAUCAAAUAAUUUUUCAAUCCAAUUACAACCAUAUAAAUAACAAAAUUAUAAACGUGGGCUUGGCCAAACCCAUAUACAAGCCCAAUAAAACAUAAUGCCUAAAAAUAAAUGGAAGGUAAAAUGGUCUAAACACAUGUAUGGGUUUGGCCCAAGCCCACGUUUAUUAUUUUGUUAUUUAUAUGGUUAAAAUUGGAUUGAAAAAUUAGUUGAUGAGUGAAAGAUUUUUGGUUGGUUGUUGUUCACGUCUCUCCCUUCUCCUCUUCUCAUCAUCUUCUUCUUCCUCUCUACCUUUCCCUUCUUCUGUGCUGCCUGAUUCUCCUUCUUAAUUGAUUCUACAUCAGUUAUGUUACCUUGGAAUGUAUGCUAACCACCACGCCUCCUAAUGUGAUGGCAGUUGUGUAAUAGAGAGUGAUCAUAAUUAAAAUAAUUAUUUUCCUCUACCUUUCUUGUUUGAUUUUCCUUUUGAGCUGACCUAUUCUGUGGUUUCGCAGGUAUAAUGAAAGAGAAGAGGAUUUUGCAUCAUUGAGGGAAUACAAUGAUUACUUGGAAGAAGUAGAGGAUAUGAGUACGUUUAUCUGUUGUGCACGUGAUAUAGUAUACAUUACACAGAGUAUUGUGUUCGAUAAUUGUGUUUGCUUGCAGUUUUUAAUUUAAUUGAAGGAGUAGACGUUCCUGCCAUUGAAGCAAAGAUUGCUGAGUACCAGAGAGAAAAUGCUGAACAAAUCAUGAAUGCUCAUGCUCGCAAAGUUUCACAAAUUUGUCUUUGCAUAACAUUAUACUCCAACAAUAGUUAGUUCGAUCUGAAUGCUAUAUGAUAUAUGUUUGUUUCUUUGAUCAAAUAGGCUGACGAAUAUGCAGCAGCUCUGGCAGCAAGCAAGGGACAACCUGCACAGACGGGUGUUGAUUUGGUGAGUUUAUCUUAUGGAUUUCAAAUCUUUCGGCAUUUUAAUCGUUGAUUUACUCUUUUACUUGAAUCUAAAUGUUUAUGCAAUGCUUAUGUUUACCUUUUCUCAGUUGGUAUCGAGUUACAGAAUUUUUUAUCACCAUUGAUUCUCUCUCUGUACUUUAUUUCUUUUAGUUUUAGUACUAUCAACAGUUAUGUGGUUAUCUAUUUGGCUCUUCUUAUAUCAUGAGCGAAGUUGCAACAAAAGAAUUUUUCUAUGUUGUUCUGAUGCCAGCUGAAAAUUCAGCAGUUUGUGAGGUCAUACUUAAGUGUCUAUGAUCCUGGAGUACAGCUCUGGUCAAUCUGUCACCUGAACAUCCUAAAAAACCUAAAAGCUUAGUCCUGUAACGUUUGGAGAAUAACCCCUUAUCGAAGGGCUUAGUUAUUCUAACGGUGCACUUAAAAUUUAAACCACUUCUUUGGAAGGAUGUUCUUGCUCCACUCCCUUCUUUGACCCCAUCCACUCAUCUGGUGAUCCCUUGCUUCACAUUCAGGUGUUUGCUCAUUCUUUAGACCUGAGAAUGAGAUUUCGGCUCAUUGCAGUCAGCUCUGGGGUUCUUUACACCAGGAUAUCACAAGGCCGAUGUGCGUCAGCCCUACGAAUUCAACAAAAAAGGAAAUUGGUAUAUGCUUCCCAUUUAAGCCAAGUCUCACACACAUGUCAACCAUUAUAUGUUCACGAAUUCAAUAAUGCUUAUCACUCUUUGAUUAUUCCAUUAUACAGGAUAAGUGCUAACAAUCAAGAGGGGAGUGUUUCCUACUCUUUUUUCUAAUUAAUUUUUCUUCAUUCUUUCUAUUUGCCCUUCCUUCCCUUCUUUUUUAGUUUUUUGGGGAGUUUUAACAUUAUCAGAAUUAGGUUUAUGAUGCUAAAUCCUAGUUGCUGAAGAAAGGUUUUUUGUGGAACCUAUCCUGUCAUUUAUUUUUGCUGAUAGUCUUCUUUAAAUGACACGGGGACUUGUACUGCUGCAUAUGUGAUGCAAACUCACAACACUUCGAUGUUCAUUAAUUAAAAUCUCUUUUUUCAUAUAUUAAAUC